GGAGGGUGCAAGCGUUAUCCGGAUUCACUGGGUUUAAAGGGAGCGUAGGUGGGUUGGUAAGUCAGUGGUGAAAUCCCCGAGCUUAACUUGGGAACUGCCAUUGAUACUAUCAGUCUUGAAUACCGUGGAGGUCAGCGGAAUAUGUCAUGUAGCGGUGAAAUGCUUAGAUAUGACAUAGAACACCAAUUGCGAAGGCAGCUGGCUACACGAAUAUUGACACUGAGGCUCGAAAGCGUGGGGAUCAAACAGGAUUAGAUACCCUGGUAGUCCACGCCCUAAACUAUGGAUACUCGACAUACGCGAUACACUGUGUGUGUCUGAGCGAAAGCAUUAAGUAUCCCACCUGGGAAGUACGAUCGCAAGAUUGAA
rnacentral:rRNA from 1 species